CUCGGUGAGUGGUAGCCAGAGUGUGCUGGCUGGGGCUUAAAGGCCUCAUCUCUUCCUAGCCUUCUCUCAGGCUGGCUGGUCCGGGUGAGUACUGCCAGCCCUAUGCACGUGCACUGGUGUGCGUGCAUGUGUGUGUGUAUGUGUUGUCUGGUCCAGGUGUAGGGCUGAUCACAGGGCCCUGGCCCCUGUGUCUUCUGGCCCCUUCCAGUGGCAACUGUAGGAACUCUGGCUCCGAUGCUGGCUGGUCCCUGGCCUGUCUGUGUCUACACAGUGCUCCAGACACAGGCCACGUGAUGCAAGUGGCUGGGGACACUUCUUAGGAAUCCUAGUAGAGUGGCUGGUAUGGUGGUCUGCAGCUAUAUGGCUUGGUCCUUCCCACCCAGAGACUGCCUCCUCGUGUAACAGUGCUCUGAUGUGGACUGCACCCACCUCUGCGUCUCAUCUGCACACCCCCUCCCAAAGGCCCCCAGUCUGGAGUGCCUCACAGGACAGGAGGAUUUGCCUGUCAGCCAGCUCAGACUGGGAACUUCCCUUCUAAUCUCCAGCCAGGCCCUCUCCAGCCGAGCCUGUUUACAAGGGGCAGUCGCAGUGAGGAGGGGCAGGUGCCUGUGUGAUGGGGCAUGUGAAGAAAUGGCAGAAAGGCUGCCGCCCCAGGCCUCGUCCAGUUGCAGGCCACAUGCCCAGAGCAGGGCCUGGCCAGUAUUCCUAGCAUGGAGGGUUGUAAGGUCUCUGGAGCCCACACUGCGCUCAGUCCCCUGGGGAAGCAAAGCCAGUUGUGUAUUUCCGAGGUUACGUGCGGUCUUCUCUUCUCCCCUAUCCCUCUUCCCUGCCUCUCUCCUGCCGGCCUUGAGGCCCCUGAGGAGCGGUGGAGAGGCCAGGCGUCUUCUCUGCCCAGCUCUUUCUGUGACUUCUUCGAGUGGCCACAAGUUGAGGGUUGAUUGUGGUGGCGAUUGCAUUGUGGCCCUUUCACCUCUUUGCGCACUGCCACAUGCUGCCACAGGAUGGCAGUGCAGGUCUGGCUCUGUUUCUCUGUUUGGUGCCCUCUAUCGAUCGUCGUGAGGCUUGGGAUGGGCCUAGAUUGUGAGCAGCAUGGGUGCCAAGGCCAGGGCAGGAGCUGGCAUGGGGCCUGUGUGGGCCAUUGUGGUAGGAAGCCUGGCAGUCAACCUGCCCAGAGGAUCCCAGGCUGCUUUCCUGCUUGAGGCUGGUGGCAGGAAGGCUGCUGAUGGAAGGCUGUUUCUGGUAGUGAUGGUGAAAUCUGACCAAGGAUGCCGUCUGGAGGCAGGUAGCAGCUUGGCUCUGAGUGGCAGCUGUCAGGCAUGUGCAAGUCUGCGUGGGCGAACAGAGGCAGGCAAGGACAGGCUGGGCAUUCUGCAGCUGAAGCCGGAGGAGCCGCUGACCAGUCUGGAUGGUUGGACCCAGGCGGGGCCAGCUGCCUUCUUGCGCCGCCGUUCUCACUGCAUCUUCCGCUCUGGCCAAAGCCACAUGGGAGGGUAUGGGAGGGAGAGACUCGGAGGAGGAGGAGGGAGUCGGGGCGAUGGCUCUCCUCACAGCGUGGCCCUCAGCAGCAGAGGCAGGUCAUCUUCCUGAGCAUUUGUGGCGCUCCUCUUAAAGAUAAUGUCCGAGUUUUCUUUACAUACCUGUAGCUGUUUUUACUUUUCUGUUUUUGAAGUCAGUUUGUGUCUUGACGUGUCCCUUGCAAUAUCCCUAUCGUUAUAUAUGCUGUGUGCCUUAUGAAAUGCUGGGAUCUGGAAAAUCCAACCAACCAACCCACCGGCUCCUCACCGUCUCCACCUCUGCCUUUGACUGACACCUCAAUCUGUCAAUCGGAACCGCCUACCAUGCGAUUGGUCGGAUGGCGUUUCGGGGGGCGGUGCAUGCAGAGAAGCCAACAGAGCAGUAAGCGCAGCAGCCGGAGUGUGGAAGAUGACAAGGAGGGUCACCUGGUGUGCCGGAUCGGCGAUUGGCUCCAAGAGCGAUGUACAGCCACCUUUCGUAAAACUUUACCUCUCUACUUUCUACCCCCCUUGUUAGACGAGACCUCUCCUGCCUGGAGGGGCUUCUAGUGCGCGUGGUGCCUUAGCGGGGCCACCAGUAAUUGCCUGAAUGACACAGACACUAGCAACUUCCAUUUUUAAGAGUGUAGCAGUGAGAGAGAAACCUUUUUUGUUUUUGAGAAUUUGAAUGCUGUGAACUUGCAGGAGCUGCCAACUCCCUGCCCUCCAGAUUCUCAUGCCCAAUUUCUUUUCUCUCCUAGAUGAGAUUGUGGGGAACCUGGGUGAAGGCACCUUUGGCAAGGUGGUGGAGUGCUUGGACCAUGCCAGAGGGAAGUCUCAGGUUGCCCUGAAGAUCAUCCGCAAUGUGGGCAAGUACCGGGAGGCUGCCCGGCUAGAAAUCAACGUGCUCAAAAAAAUCAAGGAGAAGGACAAAGAAAACAAGUUCCUGUGCGUCUUGAUGUCUGACUGGUUCAACUUCCACGGUCACAUGUGCAUCGCCUUUGAGCUCCUGGGCAAGAACACCUUUGAGUUCCUGAAGGAGAAUAACUUCCAGCCUUACCCCCUACCACAUGUCCGGCACAUGGCCUACCAGCUCUGCCACGCCCUUAGAUUUCUGCAUGAGAAUCAGCUGACCCAUACAGACUUGAAGCCAGAGAACAUCCUGUUUGUGAAUUCUGAGUUUGAAACCCUCUACAAUGAGCACAAGAGCUGUGAGGAGAAGUCAGUGAAGAACACCAGCAUCCGAGUGGCUGACUUUGGCAGUGCCACAUUUGACCAUGAGCAUCACACAACCAUUGUGGCCACCCGUCACUAUCGCCCGCCUGAGGUGAUCCUUGAGCUGGGCUGGGCACAGCCCUGUGACGUCUGGAGCAUUGGCUGCAUUCUGUUUGAGUACUACCGGGGCUUCACACUCUUCCAGACCCACGAAAACCGAGAGCACCUGGUGAUGAUGGAGAAGAUCCUAGGGCCCAUCCCAUCACACAUGAUCCACCGUACCCGGAAGCAGAAAUAUUUCUACAAAGGGGGCCUAGUUUGGGAUGAGAACAGCUCUGACGGCCGGUAUGUGAAGGAGAACUGCAAACCUCUGAAGAGUUACAUGCUCCAAGACUCCCUGGAGCACGUGCAGCUGUUUGACCUGAUGAGGAGGAUGUUAGAAUUUGACCCUGCCCAGCGCAUCACACUGGCCGAGGCCCUGCUGCACCCCUUCUUUGCUGGCCUGACCCCUGAGGAGCGGUCCUUCCACACCAGCCGCAACCCAAGCAGAUGACAGGCACAGGCCACCGCAUGAGGAGAUGGAGGGCGGGACUGGGCCGCCCAGCCCCUUGACUCCAGCCUCGACCACCAGGCCCCAGGCCAGAGCCACCCAAUGAACAGUGCAAUGUGAAGGAAGGCAGGAGCCUGCAGGGGAGCAGACUUGGUGCCCAGCUGCCAGAAAGCACAGAUUUGACCCAAGCUAUUUAUAUGUUGUAAAGUUAUAAUAAAGUGUUUCUUACUGUUUGUAACCCCUGGUACCAGUGUGUCCAUCUCCAGGCUCCUUGCCUUCCCCUUACCUGACCUUAUUAAUAAAGUCUUUCUUAGC
rnacentral:sRNA from 1 species